AUUGAACGCUGGCGGCAGGCCUAACACAUGCAAGUCGAGCGGAGCGGCGGACGGGCGAGUAAUGCCUGGGAAUCUGCAUGGUAGUGGGGGAGAACGUCCGGAAACGGGCGCUAAUACCGCAUAAUAUCAGAUGAGCCUAGGUCGGAUUAGCUAGUUGGUGGGGUAACGGCCUACCAAGGCGACGAUCCGUAACUGGUCUGAGAGGAUGAUCAGUCACACUGGAACUGAGACAUGUUCCAGACUCCUACGCGAGGGACCAGUGGGGAAUAUUGGACAAUGGUCGAAAGCCUGAUCCAGCCAUGCCGCGUGUGUGAAGAAGGUCUUCGGAUUGUAAAGCACUUUAAGUUGGGAGGCGUUACCAACAGAAUACGCACCGGCUAACUUCGUGCCAGCCACCGCGGUAAUUC
rnacentral:rRNA from 1 species